GCGAACGCUGGCGGCAGGCUUAACACAUGCAAGUCGAGCGGGCCCUUCGGGGUCAGCGGCAGACGGGUGAGUAACACGUGGGAACGUACCCUUUGGUUCGGAAUAACGCUGGGAAACUAGCGCUAAUACCGGAUACGCCCUUUUGGGGAAAGGCUUGCUGCCGAAGGAUCGGCCCGCGUCUGAUUAGCUAGUUGGUGGGGUAAUGGCCUACCAAGGCGACGAUCAGUAGCUGGUCUGAGAGGAUGAUCAGCCACACUGGGACUGAGACACGGCCCAGACUCCUACGGGAGGCAGCAGUGGGGAAUAUUGGACAAUGGGCGCAAGCCUGAUCCAGCCAUGCCGCGUGAGUGAUGAAGGCCUUAGGGUUGUAAAGCUCUUUUGUCCGGGACGAUAAUGACGGUACCGGAAGAAUAAGCCCCGGCUAACUUCGUG
rnacentral:rRNA from 1 species